CUCGUACGAAUUAGAGAGGGGGACGAGUGGAAGACCGCCUUUAACAUGCCUUAACCUCAGUUAAGUCCAGUUUUAGAUGGUUAAGAUCUGCUCAAGAGGCUUUUGACCAUCUAAAAACUCUCUUUACCUCUGCGCCCAUUCUUCUCACUCCGGAUAUCACGAGACAAUUUAUCGUCGAGGUCGACGCAUCUGAGGUGGGGGUAGGAGCCGUUCUUUCUCAGCGGUCACCCGUGCGCAUAUUUUUCUCAUCGACUCUCCCCCGCAGAACGUAAUUACGAUGUUGGUAAUCGCGAACUGCUCGCCAUCCGCCUGGCUUUGGGUGAAUGGUGACAGUGGCUAGAGGGCUCCACCCACCCUUUUAUCGUCUGGACUGACCAUCGUAAUUUGGAAUAUAUCCGUUCCGCUAAGAGACUGAAUGCGCAUCAAGCUUGUUGGGCAUUAUUUUUUACGCGUUUCGACUUCUCCAUCUCUUACCGUCCUGGCUCUAAGAAUGUCAAGCCUGACGUGUUGUCUCAUCUCUUUGAUUCCUCGGCCACCGUCACAUCCCGGGAGGAGAUUAUUCUUCCCAGUCGCGUGGUGGGUACUACGGUUUGGAGAAUCGAGAGACAGGCUAAGUGCUCUCUUUCUCAUGUUGCCACCCCUCGAAACUGCCCUAGGGGCUACCUUUUUGUCCCGGUGCCUACACGCUUAGCCGUCCUUAAGUGGGCUCAUUCAUCCAAAUUAACUGCCCAUCCCGGCGUCCGUGGUACGAUCGCAUUUAUCUGUCAGCGUUUCUGGUGGCCGACCUUAGACCGUGAUGCACGUCGUUUCAUUGCCUCCUGCUCUGUCUGUGCCCAGACCAAGGUGGGGAAUUCCCCACCUGCUGGUCUCCUGCGGCCGCUACCAGUCCCUACUCGGCCGUGGUCCCAUAUUGCUCUCGAUUUUAUUACCGGUCUCCCUGCCUCAGCCGGUAAUACCGUCAUCCUGACUGUAGUCGACCGUUUUUAUAAAUCUGCUCACUUUAUUCUACUCGCCAAGCUCCCCUCUGCUAAGGAGACAGCCCAGAUUAUGGUUAAUAAUGUGUUCAAGUUUCAUGGCUUGCCCACCGAUGUUGUUUCCGAUAGGGGCCUGCAAUUCGCCUCGCUGUUUUGGAGAGAGUUCUGUCGCCUCAUUGGUGCUACCGCCAACCUUUC
ensembl:lncRNA